CUGGUUUUGACAAUCUUUUCUGUCUCCACCUCCAGUGUUUCCUGAGUGGGAGUUGUUUUAUAGAUGUAUCCACUGGAACUGUGCCCCACAACUCUGAAUUUUGGUUAAUUAUAGCUUUUUGUAAUGGUUCCCAUCUGUUGCAUUGAGAAGUUUCUUUGAUAGGGUUGAGGAUUAUACGUAUCUAUGGGGAGAAGGACAAAUAUUUAGAAUGUAGUUAUGGAUUGUGAUGGUUGGUAAGGUGAUUGUUGUAGGUUUUCCUCCAAGACCCAUGCUUUCACUAACUCUGGGUAGUUGGCUAGGUUUCCAUAUCACCCACGAUGAGUGGGUCUGCCCAAGAAUUAAGGCAAACAACAAUUGACAAGUGGGACUUCAUAAAAUAUAAUAGCUUUCCUAUAGCUGAAGAAAUAUUUAACUGUGUGAAAAAGGAAGCCCACAAAAUGGGAGAGACUCUUUCCCAUCUACAAAAUCAGACCUCUGAGAUUAAUAACCAGAGUAUAUAAUGAUCUCAAAAAAGCAAAGAAUCACAAAAGAUGGACCUGGGACUUGAACAGAAUGUUCUCAAAAGACAAAAGAGGAAUGACUAAGAAACCUCUCAAAAAAUGCUCACUAACCAGAGUAAUUAGGGAAAUCAAAAAUGACUUUGAGAUUUUAUUUUACUCCAUUCAGAAUGGCAAAGAUCAACAAAACAGUAGACAAAUGUUAGAGGGAAUAUUAGGAAAAGGGAACGCUCAUUCCCUUGAGAGAAUGCAAUUGGAAUUGGUGGAAUUGGAAGAAGAUCAUAUUGAGUGAGGCAAUGUAGACCCAGAAAGACAAAUGUCACAUGUUCUCUCUAUUUGGAGGUUAGCUACCUUUAUUGUACCUUCCAGAGUAACCUUCACAGAGAUGUACUGCUCACCAUGGUCUGGACACUCCCAUUUCAAUCAUUAAAUAAUAAAGUAUCCCACAGGUUUGCCUACAGGCCACUCUGAUGGGAACAUUUUCUUAAUUAAAGUUUCCUCUUUUCAGAAGACUUUACCCUGAGUCAGGCUGACAAACAUCUAACACAACCUGGAAGAAGAAAGAAGCAGGUAUAUGUGGGAAGGAAGAUGAGAGGCAAUGAAAACAGAAAAAAGAUCCUGGCUUUUGUGCAUAAGAACUGGAGCAAAAGAACAUUUGUCAAGAAGGCCAAGGGGAGGCUGAAAAAGUACAAUUAUUCAAUCCUUGGCUAUCUCUAAGUUACACACAUUUGCUGAUGAGUGCAUGAUGAGACCCUCAAUUAAAUGGGAUAUUUCCUGUAAAAUAUGGUUUGCUGUAUUUUUAACAUGGACUGUCGCAUUCACUAGCAGAUGUUUGGAAAUGGUGAGGUUUGG
rnacentral:lncRNA from 1 species